rnacentral:rRNA from 1 species
AAGCUCGUAGUUGAAUUUCGAGACCGGUCUACUGGUCGUGCUUUUGUACGUACUGGUAUAAUCAGUUUCUCUCUUCUGACGAACUAUAAUGCCAUUAAUUUGGUGUUUUAGGGAAUUAGGACUGUUACUUUGAAAAAAUUAGAGUGUUUAAAGCAGGCUCACGCUUGAAUACAUUAGCAUGGAAUAACGAAAUAGGACGCUUGAUUUUAUUUUGUUGGUUUCUAGGAUCGACGUAAUGAUUAAUAGGGAUAGUUAGG